rnacentral:lncRNA from 1 species
UUAGGGUCAGUUGCUAGUCUAUAUAUGUUUCUGGACACCGUAAGUGAUGUGUGGCUUGUUGCGAGCGGAGGUCAGUAGUAACUGUUUGAACUGUGUUGGGGGAGGAUGUGUCCGGGUGUGGCUGACCAGCCGGUGGUAAAUACUCUUUCGGCUGCUACAGCUCUCCAGCCCAGGGUGUCGACUGCCUAGUCUUCAACUGCCUCCCAACAUGGUAGCAAGGUCCUGAGCUGAUGUACCCUAUGGCGAAGAUUGAGGAAGUAGUUUCCUGAAGUAAUGAAUGGCACUUUAUAACCAGCAGCCGGCACCAGCUCUGGACAACGUCGGAGUGGACAAGGCCCAGAUCCCGUGGGGAGGAAGGUCUACACUAACAUGUAAAAGAACAUAGAUUGGAAAGUCCUAAACUACAUUCCUGGAGUUUGAAGGUGUUGAUUGACAUUCAGAAUCAGAUUACAAUGGUAUCCAAGCAUUGACUGACUUGAAGUGUGGCUGUUCUACUCUGCACAUCUAUGAAGCUGGUUGUGGAGGGUCCUUCCAACAUAAUUUCAGGGAUGGUGUACAGAACAAUUGGUGAAAGUUAUGCUACAGAAACUAGUUGUGUGUGAGAAUUAGUUGGUAAAAAACAUGGAUUGGGAAGUCCUAAACUACAUCCUAGAGUUUGAAGGUGUUGAUUGUUUGACAUUCAGACUCAGAUUACAAUGGUAUCCAAGCAUUGACUGACUUGAAGUGUGGCUGUUCUACUCUGCACAUCUAUGAAGCUGGC